CGCCCUCCCGUCCCCCUCUCCUCUCCACUCUCCUCGAUUCCAGUUUCUAAUUAGCAGUCAAGGAGUAGAUAACUGCACAACUUUGGACAUGCAUGAGGUAGUGGUUGUUAAAAAGAUAGAUGACUGUAACAAAUAAUGUGUGAGAACAAGGAGCCAGAAAUAUUGGAAAACGACCAUAAGAUAGAUAGUGGAUUUAGUGAUUUGGUUAUUAUGGAGGUUGAUGGAACUUGGUCUACUGUCGGAAUUCAGAGCCAUAAAGCAUUGGACUUGGACAAGCAACAAACAAUCAAAGACGCGUACGUGACUGCUCCAUGGUUCAGAGCUCUUCCAUGGCAGCAACCAGCGGUCCCAAGGCCAAGGACAGUUGUUGUAAGGAAUAUGUUUCCAUGCACCUUCCUCGACCUU